rnacentral:rRNA from 1 species
AUGCGUGUUGAUCAAAUAUUUGAUGCCCAUCAUUAUAGCGAGGAGAAGAAAGUUCAACUUGCUGGAAUUGAGUUCACCGGUUACGCGCUAAUUUGGUGGCAUCAAAUUUGUCGUUCAAGACAUCGGCCGACGACUUGGCGAGGGACAACGGAGGAUUCGGAGGCGACCAUGGCACGUUUCUUUAACGGGCUAAAUAUCGAGGUGCAGGAUCGUGUUGAGAUGGUGGUCUACUACAACAUACAAGAUCUUGUGCACCAAGCUGUGCGUGCGGAACAACAGAUUAAGCGGCGCCAAGUCAACACAGUUCCCAGUACCACUUUGAACACAUGGCGACGCUCGCAGUAUAAGAGUGAGGAUGUCGGUCCUAGCUCCAAGGCGACAUCAUCAAAUCGCUCUCAUGGUUCCGUGCAAAAGGAUGCUUCAAAAUCAGGACUGUCGAUGGUUGAUUCUAGUGCACAGUCGACCGGACGCACUAGUGACAUAGAGUGUUUCAAGUGUGGAGGAAGGGGACAUAUGAAGCGUGAAUGUCCUAAUGAGAAAAGAGUGUUGCUCACGAGAGAUGGCUAUGCAUCCGCUAGUGAUGAAGAGGUAGUUUCUGACACUUCUAGUGAAAAAUCUAAGGAUGCUGAAAAUGUGGUUGCGAGUUUUGAAGCUGCUGAGUCAUAUCCUUCACUAAUGGUGCAACGAGUGCAAGAGGAUCGCAUUGAGAAUAAGGGACAGCGUUGGAAUAUUUUUCAGACUCAGUGCAAAGUCAAUAACACCAAUUGUAAGUUGAUUAUAGAUGGAGGAAGCUACACCAACGCGGUCAGCAAGGGAUUGGUGGAAGCUUUGGGGUUACCUACAUGGAAGCACCCACAACCACACUGCAUUGAGUGGUUAUACCAGUCUGGUAAACUGAAAGUUACUCACAAGACCAUGGCAAUAUGA